CAGCCGCCUUUUCUUUCCCUCGCUGUCUCGGUUUCUUGGCAGCAGCCAUCGAAGCUACCAGUAGAAAGGGGAAAAGCAGCCCUAGUUGCUAUUCUCUUCCAGAAAACAAGUGCAACAACUCUUUCCCCCUUCUUUCGUUGUUUUUUCCAACCAACCACAACCAUCGGAGCCCCGCCGGAGCUAGCCGUGGCCAUUGGCGAAAAGGAGAAAAGCACGAGCAAUUCCUCUCAUCGCUUCAAGUGAGGACAGUGGUGCUCCAACCGAUUGCUAAGCCAAGAGGAUCGAAGAGCCACCGUUGGCUCCUCAUUUUCCAAACUUUGAGGUUAUUGGUAGUAUGAUGACCAAUUAAAGGACAAAGGAACAAAUAUUCAUGGCAGCCGGUUCUUCAUCAUCAACAUCUUUCACUCGAAGACGCAUGAAUGAUGAACAAGGAAAGGGGAUGUGGCUUCUUCCUAUGGCAUGAUCUAGAAUUGUCAGAGAGAACUAAGGGAAUUAUUAAUGAUCUGAAGAAGGAUAACAAAAAAUUACAGAUGGAGAUUAGUGAAUUGAAAAAAUAUAAUAUGUACAUCAAAAGUGUAGUUGAUUGCAAUGUUCUCCUGGAGCCUGUGAACAACUCUGUUACUAUGAAGUUGAGUGAUGAAAUAUGUUCAUUGAAUAGAAAGUUUAGAGUUACUAUCGUUGUAAUUGUAUUUACUUGGAUUGUGAUGAUUUAGAGGUGGUUGGUGUAAUUUGCUAUAAGCAAAUAACUGUUGAAGUAAU